GAUGAAGAACGUAGUGAAAUGCGAUACUUGGUGUGAAUUGCAGAAUCCCGUGAACCAUCGAGUCUUUGAACGCAAGUUGCGCCCGAAGCCAUCAGGUUGAGGGCACGUCUGCCUGGGCGUCACAUAUCGUUGCUCGAUGCCUAUCGCAUUGCGAUAGGACUUAGGGCGAAUGAUGGCUUCCCGUGAGCGUUGUUGCCUCGCGGUUGGUUGAAAAUCGAGUCCUUGGUAGGGUGUGCCAUGAUAGAUGGUGGUCGAGUUAGCACGAGACCGCUCAUGUGCAUGCUCCCCAAAAUAUGGCCUCUGUGACCCACACGCGUCUUUUGACGCUCAUGACGAGACCUCAGGUCAGGCGGGGCUACCCGCUGAAUUUAAGCAUAUCAAUAAGCGGAGGA
rnacentral:misc_RNA from 1 species